rnacentral:rRNA from 1 species
AACGAACGCUGGCGGCAUGCCUAACACAUGCAAGUCGAACGAGACCUUCGGGUCUAGUGGCGCACGGGUGCGUAACGCGCGGGAACCUGCCCUUCGGUUCGGCAUAACUCCCCGAAAGGGGUGCUAAUACCGGCUAAUGUCUUCGGACCAAAGAUUUAUCGCCUUUGGAUGGGCCCGCGUUGGAUUAGCUAGUUGGUAGGGUAAAAGCCUACCAAGGCGACGAUCCAUAGCUGGUCUGAGAGGAUGAUCAGCCACACUGGGACUGAGACACGGCCCAGACUCCUACGGGAGGCAGCAGUGGGGAAUAUUGGACAAUGGGCGAAAGCCUGAGCCAGCAAUGCCGCGUGAGUGAUGAAGGCCUUAGGGUUGUAAAGCUCUUUUACCCGGGAUGAUAAUGACAGUACCGGGAGAAUAAGCUCCGGCUAACUCCGUG